CCUACGGGAGGCAGCAGUGAGGAAUAUUGGUCAAUGGCCGGAAGGCUGAACCAGCCAUGCCGCGUGAAGGUCAGUGCCCUAUGGGCGUUAAACUUCUUUUGUGCGGGAGCAAUAAUGGUCACGUGUGGCCAGACGAGAGUACCGUACGAAUAAGCAUCGGCUAACUCCGUGCCAGCAGCCGCGGUAAUACGGGGGAUGCAAGCGUUAUCCGGAUUUAUUGGGUUUAAAGGGUGCGUAGGCUGUGAGGUAAGUCAGCGGUGAAAUGCCCCCGCUCAACGGGGUGAAGUGCCAUUGAUACUGCCUGGCUGGAAUGCGGAUGCCGGGGGAGGAAUGUGUGGUGUAGCGGUGAAAUGCAUAGAUAUCACACAGAACACUGAUUGCGAAGGCAUCUCACGAAUCCGCGAUUGACGCUGAUGCACGAAAGCGUGGGUAUCAAACAGGAUUAGAUACCCUUGUAGUC
rnacentral:rRNA from 1 species